UGCUGUAGUAAUUAAAAUAGUAGUUCUGCAGAAGUAGGAGUAGUUGUUACUUUCAAAGCAAUUUCUACAAGUUUAAAUUCCUUAACCCUGUCCAAGUGGUAUACACACUGUUUUUUCUCAAUAUCAAACUCAGCCAGUCCAGGUUGUCAAAUAACAAUCUAUCUGAUAAGCCAAGCAUGUGUUGUACAUCAGAUGUUGGGUAUGUUUGCUGCAAAUCUAUUGGUUAUAAGAUAUAACAGCCUUUUCUAAUUGGCUGAAUUCAAAUACAGAAAGUUUACCUGUUAGAUUGAAACAUGAAACAUGGUGGACAAUGUACUGGUUUAACUUGUUAAAAUAAAGUUAAAGAAAUUUAACAAACAGAAGAGUUCAUUAGAUUUUCCAUUAAAAACACUUUCUUAAAAUACUUAUGUAUUUAUAUCAUUUGGAAAGUGACAUGAAAUAUUGCUAAAGAGUGAUGCAUACAGUGUUUGAGCAGUCUGUCUAGGAAUAGAACAACAACUGAAGUUGAUGGAAGAUACUGCAGAGUUUGGCAGGGAAAUAAUCCAACAGCAAAGCGGCUCUUUAAGCGCAUUUACCUAGAGGACUUACAGGGCCACAAAUUCAUGAGCACAUGUGAGCAGUAUACAAUGUACCUCAUACCAAAAAGGACCCGGAGGCAGUGACUGGUGUUCAAUAUUCUCAGAAGAAAAGGAAAAUGGCAGUGGAAGACUUGGACAAACAUUUUUAAAAACUAGCCUCUGUGUUAAGCCUGGCAGUCUGUGGCUGGUGACAUGUUUUAAUUUGGUUACUUCUUGUAUAAAAAAGACCAGUUAUUUAUUUUGUUAAUUGUAUUUUGUGUUUGUUUUUUGUCUUAAUUUAUUUGUUUGUUUUUUUAAUUUAGGAAUUUGAAACUUGGAUAAUUGAAUUAAGUCCGUGUUCAACAGUACUGAGCAUAGUAUAAUAAAUAACAAAUUUACAACAGUUGUUAAUUUGUUUUGUAUUAUUAUUAAGUAUGCUCAGUACUUGAAUACUGGCUGUCUGCAUGGGAAUUUGUUUUCUAGAAAGUUGGUUUCAGACUUAAAUAUUUGAAGUUAACCUUCGAAACUUUUCUAGAAUUGUACUGGAACACAUCAACUAGAACUGAACUUCUGUUAUCAUACUGAAAGUGUUCUAGAAUUAAUAAGGAACAGUUGUUGAACGUUAAAAUUUAUGAGAAAAAACUCUAGAACAAUUGUGCGUGAUGUGUGUGUGCAUGUAAUUGUGUGUGUUUAUGAACAUAUGUGAGAAAGGAAGUAUACUUGUCAUAAGAGAAAUGUAAAAUUCUACUUCUAUGUUUUAUAUUGUUCCUUGUAUAAGUUUUUCUUUUCUCACCUGUAUAUGGAUGUGUUUUUGAAUGUGUGCAUGCAUGCCUGUGGUUAAGAGAGUUGGUACUUUAUGAAAAUGUAAAUGAUUGAUGCCAGAUCUUUUCCUUGA